CUGCAGCUAAUUAAGCUGACAGUGCUGCUCUCCUCCAGGCGUCCUGGUGUGCAAUGGCUGCAAACAGCAGCCUUCUUGGUAGUGUAUGCAGCCUGUUACUUGUAUGGGUUGCUUGAAGGAACUUGGAGACUGUC